CCUUAGAUGUUCUGGGCCGCACGCGCGCUACACUGACAGAGCCAACGAGUAUCAACCUUAACCGAGAGGUUUGGGUAAUCUUGUUAAACUCUGUCGUGCUGGGGAUAGAGCAUUGCAAUUAUUGCUCUUCAACGAGGAAUAUCUAGUAAGCGCAAGUCAUCAGCUUGCGUUGAUUACGUCCCUGCCCUUUGUACACACCGCCCGUCGCUACUACCGAUUGAAUGGCUCAGUGAGGCCUUCGGACUGGCUCAGGGAGGUUGGUAACGACCACCCAGAGCCGGAAAGUUGGUCAAACUUGGUCAUUUAGAGGAAGUAAAAGUCGUAACAAGGUUUGAAGUAAGAUCCUUCUGCAGUGACGCUUAUGGGAAGCCUUUGUGGCCCCGCAAGGGGUACCUGCCGCGACUAUAAAAAAGAAUGCUGGUAUUAAAUCGCAAGUCGGUUCAGGUGGAACCGGCCACACUUUCGAAUUGCGGGAACACCCUAAAGCCUGUCUCUACCAACCAGCUGGGAAACCAGCUUGGGGCUCAUGCUAACACCAUGAGGUAUGGUAAUAAUGAGCAGGAUGAAAUCUAGUGAUAGAUCACAUGGGCAAUCCGCAGCCAAGGCCCUAAGGCAGAACACUGCUAUGGGACAGGUUCACAGACUAAGUGGAAGUGGGCUGAAAUUUCAGCUUAAGAUAUAGUCGGGUUCUAUGAGAGAUUAUAGGAGAGUCACUUUGUGAUGUAGUAACCGUUCCGUAGGUGAACCUGCGGAAGGAUCAUUAAAAAUCCAAACUCUUUGCCCAAGGUUUCGGUCUUGCUGGUGAAGUUUUUAACCUCUUGUGAACCAAAAAAUCUUUCAGCUUCGGUAGCUGGCUGGUUGGGUGUCAAAAACCUAACCACGCCGUCAGCCUACCGGUAGCACCCAAUUUAAACUGUCUGAAUAAAUUUUGUCUGAUACCAAAUUUUCGAAUGAAAAUUAAAACUUUCAACAACGGAUCUCUUGGUUCUCGCAUCGAUGAAGAACGCAGCGAAACGCGAUAGUUAAUGUGAAUUGCAGAAUUCAGUGAAUCAUCGAGUCUUUGAACGCACAUUGCGCCCCUUGGUAUUCCGAUGGGCAUGUCUGUUUGAGCGUCAUUACAACCCUCGAUUCGGUUUAAUUUUUUGAACCUGGAACGGUUUUGGGCUUGGGAGCUUCAUCAAGACGUCCCGGCUUUAAAGUUGUAUGCUCUGCGGGUGACUUCUGCGAAACCGAACAUAGUAAAAUUUUGCCUGUUCUGGUUUCCGGUUUUGUCAGCUUCGCCUGAAUAAUAAAAUCUAUUUUUCUUAGGUUUGACCUCAGAUCAGACAAGGAUACCCGCUGAACUUAAGCAUAUCAAUAAGCGGAGGAAAAGAAACCAACAGGGAUUGCCUCAGUAACGGCGAGUGAAGCGGCAACAGCUCAAAUUUGAAAUCUGAAGUCUUUGUCUUCCGAGUUGUAAUUUGAAGAGGAUGCUUCGGUUGUGGCCUGGGCCUAAGUUCCUUGGAACAGGACGUCGUAGAGGGUGAGAAUCCCGUACACGGCUGCCGGCUUACUUCCAUGUGUAGCUCCUUCGAAGAGUCGAGUUGUUUGGGAAUGCAGCUCAAAAUGGGUGGUAAAUUUCAUCUAAAGCUAAAUACUGGCGAGAGACCGAUAGCGCACAAGUAGAGUGAUCGAAAGAUGAAAAGCACUUUGAAAAGAGAGUUAAACAGUACGUGAAAUUGUUGAAAGGGAAGCGCUUGCAAUCAGACUUGCUCGCGGUUGAUCAACGUUCCUUUUGGUUCGUGCACUCUGCCGUUUGCAGGCCAGCAUCAGUUGGAGCGGUGGGACAAAGACUCUGAGAAUGUGGCUUCCUUCGGGGAGUGUUAUAGCUCAGUGUGUAAUGCCACCAGCACCGACUGAGGUCCGCGCUUUUGCUAGGAUGCUGGCUUAAUGGUUGUAAGCGAC
rnacentral:rRNA from 1 species